rfam:Ixodes scapularis strain Wikel colony gcontig_1107729031658, whole genome shotgun sequence.
UCCUUGUUAGCUCAGUUGGCAGAGCGCUCCACUGAAAAUUGAGAGGUCCCUGUCUCAAUACCAGGCCCAGGAC